AAGGGUGUUUUACUAUGUCAGAAGGGUGUUUUACUAUGGUAGAAGGUGAGGUAGAAGGGUGUUUACUAUGGUAGAAGGGUGUUUUACUAUGGCAGAAGGGUUUUUUACUAUGGUAGAAGGGUGUUUUACUAUGUCAGAAGGGUGUUUUACUAUGGUAGAAGGUGAGGUAGAAGGGUGUUUACUAUGGUAGAAGGGUGUUUUACUAUGGUAGAAGGGUGUUUUACCAUGGUAGAAGGGUGUUUUACUAUGGCAGAAGGGUGUUUUACUAUGGUAGAAGGGUGUUUUACUAUGGCAGGAGGGUGUUUUACUAUUUCAGAAGGGUGUUUUACUAUGGUAGAAGGGUGUUUUACUAUGGUAGAAGGGUGUUUUACUAUGUCAGAAGGGUGUUUUACUAUGGUAGAAGGGUGUUUUACUAUGGCAGGAGGGUGUUUUACUAUUUCAGAAGGGUGUUUUACUAUGGUAGAAGGGUGUUUUACUAUGUCAGAAGGGUGUUUUACUAUGUCAGAAGGGUGUUUUACCAUGGUAGAAGGGUGUUUUACUAUGUCAGAAGGGUGUUUUACCAUGGUAGAAGGGUGUUUUACUAUGGUAGAAGGGUGUUUUACUAUGGCAGGAGGGUGUUUUACUAUUUCAGAAGGGUGUUUUACUAUGGUAGAAGGGUGUUUUACUAUGGUAGAAGGGUGUUUUACUAUGUCAGAAGGGUGUUUUACUAUGGUAGAAGGGUGUUUUACUAUGUCAGAAGGGUGUUUUACUAUGGUAGAAGGUGAGGUAGAAGGGUGUUUACUAUGGUAGAAGGGUGUUUUACUAUGGCAGAAGGGUUUUUUACUAUGGUAGAAGGGUGUUUUACUAUGUCAGAAGGGUGUUUUACUAUGGUAGAAGGUGAGGUAGAAGGGUGUUUACUAUGGUAGAAGGGUGUUUUACUAUGGUAGAAGGGUUUUUUACUAUGGUAGAAGGGUGUUUUACUAUGUCAGAAGGGUGUUUUACUAUGGUAGAAGGUGAGGUAGAAG
ensembl:lncRNA